rnacentral:tRNA from 1 species
GAGUAUGUAGCUCAGUGUUAGAGCCUUUGCAUAACAUGUAGGAGGCACUGGGUUCAAUUCCCCAUGUUUC